rnacentral:rRNA from 1 species
UACGUAGGGGGCGAGCGUUGUCCGGAAUGACUGGGCGUAAAGGGCGUGUAGGCGGUUCUUUAAGUUUGGAGUGAAAGUCCUGCAUUUAAUGUGGGAAUUGCUUUGAAUACUGGAGAACUUGAGUGCGGAAGAGGUAAGUGGAAUUCCCAGUGUAGCGGUGAAAUGCGUAGAGAUUGGGAGGAACACCAGUGGCGAAGGCGACUUACUGGGCCGUAACUGACGCUGAGGCGCGAAAGCGUGGGGAG